rnacentral:rRNA from 1 species
UACAGAGAGUGCAAACGUUGUUCGGAAUUACUGGGCUUAAAGCGCACGUAGGCGGUGUCGUAAGUGUCAGGUGAAAUCCCACGGCUCACCCGUGGAACUGCCUGGCAUACUGCGAUACUCGAGUGUGGUAGGGGAGAGCGGAACUCCUGGUGGAGCGGUGAAAUGCGUAGAUAUGCGGAGGAACACCGAUGGCGAAGGCAAUCCCCUGGGCCUGCACUGACGCUCAUGCACGAAAGCGUGGGGAGCAAACAGG